rnacentral:rRNA from 1 species
CCCUUUGAUGCUCUGGGCCGCACGCGCGCUACACUGGUCGAUGCAACGAGUUUCUUUCCUUGGCCGACAGGCCUGGGCAAUCUUUGAACAUCGAUCGUGAUCGGGAUAGAUUCUUGUAAUUUUUGAUCUUAAACGAGGAAUUCCUAGUAAACGCAAGUCAUCAGCUUGCAUUGAUUACGUCCCUGCCCUUUGUACACACCGCCCGUCGCACCUACCGAUUGAAUGGUCCGGUGAAAUCUCCGGACUGGCGUGAGUCGGAGCAAUCUGACAAACACCGGAAAGUUGAUUAAACCUUACCAUUUAGAGGAAGGUGAAGUCGUAACA